GCUCCCGUAGCUCAGCCUGGAGAGAGCGCUUCCCUGCGGAGGAAGAGGGCGACGGUUCAAAUCCGUCCGGGGGCA
rnacentral:tRNA from 1 species